rnacentral:rRNA from 1 species
UCCUUAGAUGUUCUGGGCCGCACGCGUGCUACACUGAGUGGAUCAGCGGGUCAGGUUGCGCGAAAGUGUUUCCUAAUCUUGAAAUCCGCUCGUGAUGGGGAUUGACGGUUGCAAUUUUCCGUCAUGAACGAGGAAUACCUUGUAAGCGCGGGUCAUCAUCCCGCGCUGAAUACGUCCCUGCCCUUUGUACACACCGCCCGUCGCUCCUACCGAUUGAGUGGUCCGGUGAGGCUUUGGGAUCUGAGCAAAGAGAGCGUUUCGCUCGUUUUGCCCGGAAAACUCAGUCGAACCUUAUCAUUUAGAGGAAGGAGAAGUCGUAACA